GGGGUUGUAGAUCAGCAGUAGAGCGCUCCCCUAACAUAGGCGAGGCCCUGGGUUCGAUCCUCAGCACCACA
rnacentral:tRNA from 1 species